rnacentral:rRNA from 1 species
AGACGGAGGGGGCUAGCGUUGUUCGGAAUUACUGGGCGUAAAGCGCGCGUAGGCGGACCAUCAAGUUGGGCGUGAAAGCCCUGGGCUCAACCCAGGAAUUGCGCUCGAAACUGGUGGACUAGAGUCCGAGAGAGGAUAGUGGAAUUCCCAGUGUAGAGGUGAAAUUCGUAGAUAUUGGGAAGAACACCAGUGGCGAAGGCGGCUAUCUGGACCGGUACUGACGCUGAGGUGCGAAAGCGUGGGGAGCAAACAGGAUUAGAAACCCCGGUAGUCC